UUCUGCUUCCCAGAACCAAAACUCAGCUUCCUCUACUCCUCCAAAUGGGGAACGAGCUUAAUUCAGACCUCAAACUUGCUGCUCAAAUAGUUCUUGGCCUGGUCAUUCUCAUCAUCACACUCCUUCUCGCACUUCCCAGAUUUCAGCAAGUUGAGUUGGUCCUAGAACUCAUUUCUGAAGCAGUUGGGAUCCUUGUCAGCAUUGUUGUUCUACUCCAACAGUUAAUACGCGAUCU